rnacentral:rRNA from 1 species
GGCCCCUGAAGACCCCUUCGAGACCAGGAGGUUGAUAGGCCGGGUGUGGAAGCGCAGCAAUGCGUGGAGCUAACCGGUACUAAUCGGUCGUGAGGCUUGGUCUUCGUUAUUGUU